ensembl:lncRNA
GUUUCCCCUGGGUUUGCGAUGGGAAUCGCAUCGCGCUCCCGUCCUCGUUGCCAUCGCGGUCCCCUUCGCCGUUGUGCUCCUGUCCCCGUCCCUAUUGCCAUCACGCUCCCAUUCCUGUCCCGCUUCCAUCCCCAUCCCCGUCAUGCUCCCGUCCCCAUUGCCAUCACGCUCUCGUUCCUGUCCCGCUGCUGUCCCCAUUGCCGUCGUGCUCCCGUCUCCACCACGCUCCUAUCCCCAUUGUCAUCAUGUUUCCGUCCUCAGUGCCAUCGUGUUCCCGUCCCCAUCGCCAUCGCGUUCCCAUCCCCAGUGCCGUUGCGCUCCCAUCCCCAUCCCCAUCGCGCUCCCAUGUCCCGUGCCAUCACAUUCCUGUCCCCACUGCCGUCCCACUCCCAUCUCCAUCGCCAUUGUGUUCCCAAUCCCCAAUGCCAUUGCAUUCCCGUCCCCAAUGCCAUUGCGUUCCCGUCCCCAGGGUCAUCGCGUUCCUGUCCCCAGGACCAUCGCGUUCCCGUCCCUAUCAUCAUCGUGUUCCCGUCCCCAGUGCCAUCGCAUUCCUGUCCCCAUUGCCGUCCCGCUCCCAUCCCCAUCAGGUUCCCAUCCCCAUCCCCAUCGCGUUCCCGUCCCCAGUGCCAUCGCAUUCCUGUCCCCAUUGCCGUCCCGCUCCCAUCCCCAUCAGGUUCCCAUCCCCAUCCCCAUCGCGUUCCCGUCCCCAGUGCCAUCGCGCUCCCAUCCCCAGUGCAUGCAUCGUGUUCCCACCCCCAGUGCCAUUGCAUUCCCGUCCCCAGGGCCAUCGCGCUCCCGUGCCCAGUGCCGUCUCGCUCUCGUCCCCAUUGCGCCCCUGUCCCCGGUGCCAUCGUGCUGCGGCUCUGGGUGCUCCCAGGCAGUUUCUCCUCGGUCGCCACCGCCGCCCCAGUGCCAUCGCGCUCCCAUCCCCAGUGCAUGCAUCGUGUUCCCACCCCCAGUGCCAUUGCAUUCCCGUCCCCAGGGCCAUCGCGCUCCCGUGCCCAGUGCCGUCUCGCUCUCGUCCCCAUUGCGCCCCUGUCCCCGGUGCCAUCGUGCUGCGGCUCUGGGUGCUCCCAGGCAGUUUCUCCUCGGUCGCCACCGCCGAGCGGCUCCGCGGGAAACGCACCGCUCUGCCCUCGGGAUGCGCCGGGCUGGGAGAACAGCUGGAUGGGGCCAGGCCAGAUGUGCAGCGCCCUGCCCGGGCGUCCGGGCGUCUUUCCUUCGGGCUGAUCGUUGCGCUGCCCUCCCUGGGGCUUGGCCCAGUGUGACGUGGCCCUGUCCUGCAAAACCAGUCUCGAGAGCGGCCGGAGCAGGCGAUGCCACCGUCCCUCGCACGCGGCCCAGGGCCGCGGAGUCCCGGUCGGAAACGGGACGGCUGGGAACGGGGCCCCAAGGGGAGGAGCAGCGGCACUGCCGGAGGCGCUCCGUCCCUCCCCGAAAAACGGCCCUGCGGGAGCCGCUCCGUCCCUCCGAGCGCGGAGGAAGGCUCAACGGGUGCCGUCUCCGGGACGCAGCCCGCGAGGACACGGUCCUCGGGGUGCCGUCCUCCCGGGAUGUGGUCCGCAAGGAUGCGGUCCCUGGGUUGCCAUUGCUGGGAUGCAGUCCACAGGGAUGCGACUACUGGGAUGCCGUCCCCAGGAUGCGAUCCCUCGGAUGCAGUCCCCGGGAUGCAGUCCCCGAGACGUUGUCCUUGGGACGCGAUCCUUCGGAUGCGGUCCCUGGGAUGCUGUCCUCAGGAUGUGGUCCCUGGGAUGUGAUCCCUUGGAUGCGGUCCCCGAGAUGUUGUCCUCGGGAUGUGGUCCCUGGGAUGCGAUCAGUGGGAUGCGAUCCCUUGGAUGCUGUCCUUGGGAUGUGAUCCCUCGGAUGCAGUCCCUGGGAUGUGAUCCAUGGGAUGGGAUCCCUAGAAUGCAGUCCCCAGGAUGCGAUGCCCGGGAUGCGGUAGCUGGGAUGCGGUCUCUGGGAUGUAAUCCCUGGCAUGUGAUCCCUGGGAUGCGGUCCCCNNNNNNNNNNNNNNNNNNNN